rnacentral:lncRNA from 1 species
CCUGAAUAUUCUAAACGCCUUAACUCUGCUUCCUGUGGCUGAUAUUUGGUGCUUUCCGAAGACUGUGUGAUUACUUCAGGUUGUUGUAGUAACACGCUCCACCCAGCCAUGUCCCCCCGGGGGACACAUAUCUCGGCACAGGCAUGUACCCAAAGCAGGUGACUGAAGAAGGUUAGGCAGAAGUGGUUCCCUUGGGAGGAGGACCAGGAGGCCGUGAAUCUUUCUAGUCUUGGUGCUGAGUGAACUGGAGCCACAGCAAACUGUAACCUUCUAAGGUUAGCAUAGGAACUGCGUUCCCACAGACUCACUUCCCGCUUUCCCACGGUGAGUCACACCCUGGUUUUGUUUCCUCAAGCAGAUAACAGUUAAUGUCAAUGAAACACGGAACUUUUUUUAAAAAAAAAAAAAACACUGAUAACAGAGUGUUAUGUAUUUAAAAGCUAGUUUCACUUUUAAGUUCAUCCAUGAGAGAAGUCAGUCAGGAGUUUGGGGAAAAAUGUUUUUCUUCCCACAUACAUUAGCAGAACCAUUCCAACAUUGGCUAGCAAUGCAGGAGACAUCAGUCGAAUUGCACGAGAUCACUUCUUUGGUAGCAUCAGUAGCAUUAGAGAGCAGAAAGAAAAAAGGAGCUUUUAAGCAUUCACUUUCUGACUGUUCUGACCUUUCUUCUUGGAGCAUUUCAAGGGCAGCCUGUCCAUUUGCUAUAGCUUUCUUAUUUCCCCCUUUGUCCUCUAGACAGCUGCGCACCAGGCGCCAAACCGGGCGAACACUCGGCUUCAACGCUCCUUGCUCCCAGGCAAAAUCCAGGUCUUUCCCUAAUUUAUCCCAACUAUCCACAGUGAGAUUGCCCGAGGCCGCAAACCAGGGUGCAAUGGUGUCGCAUUCACUCAGGAACCUCUGUAAUGUGGCUUUAGUUAACCUUAAAUUGUUAGAAUGAAGUAGCUCUUGAAGAGCCAGAAAAAUUGGAUGUGAUUGUGACGAUCCCAUUGUGCUUUUGUCUUAGCUAGCGCGCUCCGAAGGUGUGCAAGUCGGAUAACACCACCAGAAAA